AUACGGAGGAUGCAAGCGUUAUCCGGAUUCAUUGGGUUUAAAGGGUGCGCAGGCGGAUUAGUAAGUCAGUGGUGAAAGCCUACAGCUUAACUGUAGAACUGCCGUUGAUACUGCUAAUCUUGAGUGUAGUUGAGGUAGGCGGAAUGUGUCAUGUAGCGGUGAAAUGCUUAGAUAUGACACAGAACACCGAUCGUGAAGACAGCUUACCAAGCUACAACUGACGCUCAUGCACGAAAGCGUGGGGAUCAAACAGGAUUAGAUACCCUGGUAGUCCACGCUGUAAACGAUGGACACUCGCUGUUGGCGAUACACUGCCAGCGGCUGAGCGAAAGUAUUAAGUGUCCCACCUGGGGAGUACGAUCGCAAGGUUGAA
rnacentral:rRNA from 1 species